rnacentral:rRNA from 1 species
CCAAGGCGAUGACGGGUAGGGGACCUGAGAGGGUGGCCCCCCACAAUGGAAUUGAAACACGGUCCAUACACCUACGGGUGGCAGCAGUAGGGAAUAUUGGUAAUGUGCGAAAGCGCGAACCAGCAACGCCGCGUGCGCGAUGAAGGCCUUCGGGUUGUAAAGCGCUUUUUAUGGGGAUGAGGAAGGACAGUACUCAUAGAAUAAGCCUCGGCUAACUACGUGCCAGCAGCCGCGGUAAAACGUAGGAGGCGAGCGUUAUCCGGAUUUACUGGGCGUAAAGCGUGUGUAGGCGGUUUGAUAAGUUGGAUGUGAAAGCUCCUGGCUUAACUGGGAGAGGUCGUUCAAAACUAUCAGACUUGAGAGUGGUAGAGGGAGGUGGAAUUCCGGGUGUAGUGGUGAAAUGCGUAGAUAUCCGGAGGAACACCAGUGGCGAAAGCGGCCUCCUGGCCCAUUUCUGACGCUCAGACACGAAAGCUAAGGUAGCAAACGGGAUUAGAGACCCCGGUAGUCUUAGCUGUAAACGAUGUGAACUUAGUGUCGGUGGGGUUAAAUCCAUCGGUACUGAAGCUAACGCGAUAAGUUCACCGCCUGGGGACUACGGCCGCAAGGU